CCCCGUUAGCUGUGGAGGACUUGUUGUGUUCUCUGGAGCAGUCUCUGGAGAUGAAGAAGAGGAAGAACGUUGAGGUCCUGUGGCUCGCUGCCUCCGUGUGUAGGAGGUUGAAUGGUGUCAGGUUAACCAGCUGUAAAAGUGCCAAAGACAGGACCUCCAUGUCUGUGACUUUAGAACAGUGUAUGUUGCUAAGAGACGAACACACACUCAGCAAGGAGCACUUUAACAGAGCACUGGACUGCAUGAGGAGGGAGGGCUGUAGAAUGGAGAACGUUGAGAAGAACAUCAGAAGCAGGAAGUAUGCUUUCAACAGCAUCCAGCUGAAGACCUUCCCUAAACCCCUACCGCCCUCCGGAGGGCACCUACGGGAAAGUAGACACUUAGAAGGAGGACGAGAGAGAACGGGUGGAAUGAUUGAGGGAUGAAUGAAGAACGGAUGGAUGGAUGGAGAACCAUAGAGGGAUAGAAGGAUGAAGAGACUGGAAAAUAGACACUUAGGAGGGAAGUGUUCUAUGUUUAAUUCUGUAAAUAUUGAGUUUGACAAAAUAAUGAAAACAUUUUUAAAAGCUCAAGUGUUUUCCACACGUUUUCACACAACAUGAAGGAAUUUUAUAGUAGCCUACUAGUUCUAGUUAGGAAGCGAGGAAGUCCAUAUUAUGGUGCAAGAACACGUUCAGACCACUAGAUGGCGCUACUCGUGUAGCUCAGCCAUAACGCCUGAAAUUCUGUCUCCCUCCAGCAGGUGGCGUUUUUUCAUUGUGUCAAUGAAUAGUGGAAUAUUGUCAACAAAAGACAUGAAUGGUUUAUUUGCUAUGUGAUGUUUAUUUGAUUGAAUAGAAGUUUGGGUAAUACUUAAGUUGUUAUGAAAUCUACUGAUAUAACUAGGGACAACGUGACAUCCCGGCAACUUCGAGAA